rnacentral:rRNA from 1 species
AUUGAACGCUGGCGGCAUGCCUUACACAUGCAAGUCGAACGGCAGCACGGGUGCUUGCACCUGGUGGCGAGUGGCGAACGGGUGAGUAAUAUAUCGGAACGUGCCUUAUCGUGGGGGAUAACGCAGCGAAAGCUGUGCUAAUACCGCAUAAGCCCUAAGGGGGAAAGCAGGGGACCGUAAGGCCUUGCGCGAUUAGAGCGGCCGAUACCUGAUUAGCUAGUUGGUGAGGUAAGGGCUCACCAAGGCAACGAUCAGUAGCUGGUCUGAGAGGACGAUCAGCCACACUGGGACUGAGACACGGCCCAGACUCCUACGGGAGGCAGCAGUGGGGAAUUUUGGACAAUGGGGGCAACCCUGAUCCAGCAAUGCCGCGUGAGUGAAGAAGGCCUUCGGGUUGUAAAGCUCUUUUGUCAGGGAAGAAACAGCAGCUCUAAUACAGUAUGCGAAUGACGGUACCUGAAGAAUAAGCACCGGCUAACUACGUGCCAGCAGCCGCGGUAA